GGUUGUGGGGUUGUGGGGUUGUAGGAGGGGUUGGUUGUGGGGUUGGGUGGUUGUAGGGUCAGAAGGUUGGGUUGUAGGAGUGGUCGGUUGUGGGGUUGUAGGUUUGUAGGGUGGAGUGGUUAUAGGGUUGUAGGAGGGGUUGGUUGUGGGGUUGGGGGGUUGUAGGGUCAGAAGGUUGGGUUGUAGGAGUGGUCGGUUGUGGGGUUGUAGGGUUGUAGGGUUGGGUGGUUGUGGGGUUGGGGGGUUGUAGGGUGGGGUGGUUGUAGGGUUGGGUGGUUGUUGGGUUGUAGGGUUGGGUGGUUGUAGGGUGGGGUGGUUGUAGGGUUGUAGGAGGGGUUGGUUGUGGGGUUGGGGGGUUGUAGGGUGGGGUGGUUGUGGGGUUGUAGGAGGGGUUGGUUGUAGGGUUGGGUGGUUGUAGGGUCAGAAGGUUGGGUUGUAGGAGUGGUCGGUUGUGGGGUUGUAGGGUUGGGUGGUUGUGGGGUUGGGGGGUUGUAGGGUGGGGUGGUUGUAGGGUUGGGUGGUUGUAGGGCUGUAGGAGGGGUUGGUUGUGGGGUUGGGGGGUUGUAGGAGGGGUUGGUUAUGGGGUUGAGGGUUGUAGGGUUGGGUGGUUGUGGGGUUGUGGGGUUGUGGGGUUGGGGGUUGUAGGGUGGGGUGGUUGUAGGGUUUUAGGAGGGGUCGUUUGUGGGGUUGGAGGGUUGUAGGGUGGGGUGGUUGGAGGGUUGGAGGGUUAUAGGGUUGUAGGGUGGGAUGGUUGUAGGGUUGGAGGGUUAUAGGGUUGUAGGGUGGGAAGGUUGUGGGGUUGGGGGGUUGUGGGGUGGGAUGGUUGUAGGGUUGGAGGGUUGGGUGGUUGUGGGGUUGGGGGGUUGUAGGGUGGGAAGGUUGUGGGGUUGUGGGGUUGUGGGGUUG
ensembl:lncRNA